rnacentral:rRNA from 1 species
CCUACGGGUGGCAGCAGUGGGGAAUAUUGGACAAUGGGGGGAACCCUGAUCCAGCCAUGCCGCGUGUGUGAAGAAGGCCCUCGGGUUGUAAAGCACUUUCAGUGAGGAAGAACGCCUGGUGGUUAAUACCCAUCAGGAAAGACAUCACUCACAGAAGAAGCACCGGCUAACUCCGUGCCAGCAGCCGCGGUAAUACGGAGGGUGCGAGCGUUAAUCGGAAUUACUGGGCGUAAAGCGCGCGUAGGUGGCUUGAUAAGCCGGUUGUGAAAGCCCCGGGCUCAACCUGGGAACGGCAUCCGGAACUGUCAAGCUAGAGUACAGGAGAGGAAGGUAGAAUUCCCGGUGUAGCGGUGAAAUGCGUAGAGAUCGGGAGGAAUACCAGUGGCGAAGGCGGCCUUCUGGACUGACACUGACACUGAGGUGCGAAAGCGUGGGUAGCAAACAGGAUUAGAUACCCUUGUAGUC